GACGAACGCUGGCGGCGUGCCUAAUACAUGCAAGUAGAACGCACAGUUUAUACCGUAGCUUGCUACACCAUAGACUGUGAGUUGCGAACGGGUGAGUAACGCGUAGGUAACCUGCCUGGCAGCGGGGGAUAACUAUUGGAAACGAUAGCUAAUACCGCAUAAUAUUAAUUAUUGCAUGAUAAUUAAUUGAAAGGUGCAAUUGCACCACUACCAGAUGGACCUGCGUUGUAUUAGCUAGUAGGUGAGGUAACGGCUCACCUAGGCGACGAUACAUAGCCGACCUGAGAGGGUGAUCGGCCACACUGGGACUGAGACACGGCCCAGACUCCUACGGGAGGCAGCAGUAGGGAAUCUUCGGCAAGGGACGAAAGUCUGACCGAGCAACGCCGCGUGAGUGAAGAAGGUUUUCGGAUCGUAAAGCUCUGUUGUAAGAGAAGAACGGGUGUGAGAGUGGAAAGUUCACACUGUGACGGUAUCUUACCAGAAAGGGACGGCUAACUACGUG
rnacentral:rRNA from 1 species